rnacentral:tRNA from 1 species
GCCCGCGACCGGGUGGCGGCCCUGUCGGACUGCGGGUCCGGCGCGGCGCAGUCGCUGGUGAUGUACCGUUCCGACGGCUCGCUGGCC